UAAAAAUUGUCCACUAAGAUAAAAAUAAUAAAAAGUGGCCAGUUUUUAUGUAAAAGUACAAAAUUACCCCUAACAAUAAAAAUUAAAAAAGUAGCCAUUUUUCUCUCCCUCUCUCUUCUCUCUCUCUAUCGUAAACUCAUUUUCUCUCUCUUCUCUCUCUCUCUUCUCUACCUCUUCGGCUCUCCCUCUCGUCCUCGCCGCCGCUCCACAGUCGCCGGCCACCGCCUCCGCCGCACAGCGAACCACCACCACCACGACGCACAGCGGCAACGGAUCUCUGGAGGCGGUGGAGAAUUUCGACGGUCUCGUCGGAAACCGUGGGCAAUCGGCUGAUAAGCUCUACAGUUUCAUCCAUCGGUUGCCGCCGAUCGUCGAGGAAUCCGAUCGGAAACUGCUCAAGGUUCUUGUCGUGCAGGCAACUCUCUUCCCCGGCCGCGGCGUCUGCAUCGAAAUUACCAGAAAAUCCUCCACCGCUCGGAACCCCCGUCGGACCAGCCACCCACCGGAAUUUCUCCGCCGUUCAGCAUCUCUUCCCGCCACCGCCGGAUUCCCGAGCCUCGCCGUCGAUUCCCUUCGAUUGGAGCUUAAUUUCAGCGAUUUCUUCCCAUCCUCCUCUAACCGCCGUCGAAGGCCGCUGCCAAGCCCUCUUCUGCCUCCGUCGGAUUCGGUCACCAACACCGCUGCCAAGCCCUCUGCCGCCGCCGUCGGAUUCCGUCACCAACGCCGCUGCCAAGCGAUUUCCCGGUGGAUUUCCCCCUGGCAGGUUUACCAAUGGCACGCCGACUUGACUCAAUUUUAAGUACCCUAAGCUAAAACCUGAGGAAUGAGUUCCUAUUUGAUCGAUUAUUUUCGAUGAACUAGCAAUUUAUUUUGGGGAAAUUGCUUCUCUUGUAGUGAAUGGGCGGUGAACAUCCACCGAGAUUAAAGAAUUGCUUAUGUGAAUUGUGUAUGCUGUGGAAUGUGCCAACUAUUCUCAUUGGAGCAAGUUUUCUGGUGUUUCUUCUACUAGCCAAGUACAUUGGGAAGAAGCACAAGAAGCUUUUCUGGAUAGCUGCAAUUUCUCCGCUCAUCUCCGUGAUCCUAUCUACCUUGAUUGUCUACAUUAGCCACGCGGAGGAGAAGGGCGUGCAGAUUGCAAGGCCCUCUUUUAAUUGUGUAGAUGGCAAAAAAAAAAACCCUAGUUUCAUAUCUAAGUAAUUUUGGGGAUUUUUGUUUUAAUUCCUUGAAAAAAAGUUUAGAUCUGAUACGUCUGUGAAUGAUUUUCGUUCUAAGAUCUAUUGAGAUUGUUGAUUCGGAGAUUGAAUGUUGAGAUUGUUGAUUCGAAGGAAUUGUUGUAUUUUAAUUGUAGAUUGAAUUGAUUCGAAUAAUAUUUUGUUGUAUUUUGAUUGUUGAUUUAGAGGAAUUGAUGUAUUUUGAUGGUAGAUUGAGUUGUUGUA